rnacentral:rRNA from 1 species
AACGAACGCUGGCGGCAGGCUUAACACAUGCAAGUCGAGCGCCCCGCAAGGGGAGCGGCAGACGGGUGAGUAACGCGUGGGAAUCUACCCAUCUCUACGGAGUAACGCAUGGAAACGUGUGCUAAUACCGUAUACGUCCUUCGGGAGAAAGAUUUAUCGGAGAUGGAUGAGCCCGCGUCGGAUUAGCUAGUUGGUGGGGUAAAGGCCUACCAAGGCGACGAUCCAUAGCUGGUCUGAGAGGAUGAUCAGCCACACUGGGACUGAGACACGGCCCAGACUCCUACGGGAGGCAGCAGUGGGGAAUAUUGGACAAUGGGCGCAAGCCUGAUCCAGCCAUGCCGCGUGAGUGAUGAAGGCCCUAGGGUUGUAAAGCUCUUUCACCGGUGAAGAUAAUGACGGUAACCGGAGAAGAAGCCCCGGCUAACUUCGUGCCAGCAGCCGCCGUAAGAC